UAGUCCACGCCGUAAACGAUGAUCACUCGUUGUUGGCAAUACAUCGUCAGCGACUGAGCGAAAGCAUUAAGUGAUCCACCUGGGGAGUACGGUCGCAAGAUUGAAACUCAAAGGAAUUGACGGGGGCCCGCACAAGCGGAGGAACAUGUGGUUUAAUUCGAAGCAACGCGAAGAACCUUACCAGGCCUUGACAUGUAUGGAUUAGGUAUGUGAAAGCAUACUGACACUCUCACGAGUGGAACAUACACAGGUGCUGCAUGGCUGUCGUCAGCUCGUGCCGUGAGGUGUUAGGUUAAGUCCUUUAACGAGCGAAACCCCUACUGUUAGUUGCCAUCGGGUCAUGCCGGGGACUCUAGCAGGACUGCCGCGUUCAAGUUGGAGGAAGGUGGGGACGACGUCAAGUCAUCAUGGCCCUUAUGGUCUGGGCUACACACGUCCUACAAUGGAUAGUACAAAGGGUUGCGAAGUCGUGAGGCGGAGCCAAUCCCAAAAGCUA
rnacentral:rRNA from 1 species